AUUACUUGUUUUUUUUAAAAAAAAAUUUGUAAUUUGUGUGAUCUUCAAGAUUGAGUAGCUUUCUUUAGUUUUAUACCAGUGGGCAUUGGUGAUUCAGACUUUUCUCCUCCAAUGCUGUUGAUAGAUUGCUCUUUCCUGUCCGGGAUCUGUUUCAUCAAAGUAACUGAUUACCCAAUGCUAAUUGUUUUCUGUAAAAUAAUUCCCACUUUCUAGGUUUAGUUUUGUGUUUAUAACAUUUUGCUUUCUUUGCUUCACUUAAUUGAUCUUCAUUUCUAUAAUUUGAGCCAUAUAUCAUAUUCCUUUUGACAUUUUCCUACUUGGAAUUUUGGAGAGAGCUCAUCUUUUAUUAUAAAUAAAAGACUGUUGUGCUUUGAAAAAUUAUUUUGAUUUGUUUGGUCAAGAUCUAGAGAAUUAUAUAGAUUAAGUCUUGCUUUUCAAGGGUUUGGUAAAGAUUUAAGCUUUUGCAGUAAAUGUAUAACUGGAGGUAGUCAUAGAUGAGAGUCGGAGGAUGAUUAUGAAGGAGGAGAAUGAUUAUGAAGGAGUGCUGAGCAGAUCAUGCCAACAUUAGGAAUCAGAUAGUAGUUAAAACAUGAAAAUUUUUCAUGAAAACAUAAAGUUGAUAUAUAGGUUAAUGAUCGCAGCUUCUUUUUCCCUUUAAUCUGUUGGAAAUUAGAAUCUUGGCAAACUGAUGAUCGAUGCAAAGAUCAAGAGGAACUGACAACACACAUUAGAGCUUGAACAUAGUGUUACUUCAUGACAGGCAAAGAAUACACCACCAAGAUUAGUCUUCCUCAUGGCUGUAAUGUUGAUGAGCUAUUAAAGAUAAAGGGGAACUACUCAAGAGUUUAUUUCUUUUUUUCAUCCAAAAAGGUGCUCAAGAGGCUUCCAAAGUGGCUGCAUGAAUUGCAGAGGCUGAAGUGGCAGCAAGGGAAGCAGAGAAAGCAGAGACUGAAGCAGAAGAGGACAAUUGCCAAAGCAGCAAUGAAGGCUUCAAAAUAUAAUAAUACACUUUAUACCUGAUACUUCAGCUUCAGUCUCACUCAACAGUCAAAGCCUGCAAAGUUUAUGCCUCCGGAUCUAUGGCUUCCUUAAUCAAGUUGGU